CUCCGUGCAUGUUAUGGCACCUUUGGGAUGUGUUAGUCAUAAGAAUGAAGCUACUGGUGCUUUGCAGGAAUAUUUUCACUCUGGCUCUCGCAGGAGAGCUCUGACACAGCCCUGCUGUCGGCACGGCUGGGGCGCGUUUGCUCGCUGGUGCCUCCUGAGAUUCCAGACCGCUCCAAAAAAACAGGGGGAAACAUCCAAUUUUUAUUUCCUCAGGGAACACUAAGAAAAUUUUUCUUUCCGAGCCUGUCUCCUGAAACGAGCUCCAGGAGUGGUCACAACCUGCCAUAAAAAUGCCAUGUGCAAGAGAAUAUAUUUAAUAUCGGGCAAGCAGAAUGGAACGAUACGAUCUGUUUGGGGUUGGAAGCUUUUCCAGGCAAAGGAGGAUCUGCUCCAUCACCAUCUGUGCAGCCGCUGGCAGGGGCAGCUCCCCAGCCACACCAAAGGAAUUCCCCGAGCCCAAAAACACCCCAGGCAUCGCCUUUGUGAAGGACAGAACUUCACAAAGUCCAUCCCACUGAUGGAUGACAGAGAUCCUGUUGGAAUAUUUUUCCUAUGGGAUGGGGAUCAUCUUUGUGAGAGGAA
rnacentral:lncRNA from 1 species